rnacentral:rRNA from 1 species
GACGAACGCUGGCGGCGUGCUUAACACAUGCAAGUCGAACGGAAAGGCCCUGCUUUUGUGGGGUGCUCGAGUGGCGAACGGGUGAGUAACACGUGAGUAACCUGCCCUUGACUUUGGGAUAACUUCAGGAAACUGGGGCUAAUACCGGAUAGGAGCUCCUGCUGCAUGGUGGGGGUUGGAAAGUUUCGGCGGUUGGGGAUGGACUCGCGGCUUAUCAGCUUGUUGGUGGGGUAGUGGCUUACCAAGGCUUUGACGGGUAGCCGGCCUGAGAGGGUGACCGGCCACAUUGGGACUGAGAUACGGCCCAGACUCCUACGUGAGGCAGCAGUGGGGAAUAUUGCACAAUGGGCGGAAGCCUGAUGCAGCAACGCCGCGUGCGGGAUGACGGCCUUCGGGUUGUAAACCGCUUUCGCCUGUGACGAAGCGUGAGUGACGGUAAUGGGUAAAGAAGCACCGGCUAACUACGUGCCAGCAGCCGCGGUGAUACGUAGGGUGCGAGCGUUGUCCGGAUUUAUUGGGCGUAAAGGGCUCGUAGGUGGUUGAUCGCGUCGGAAGUGUAAUCUUGGGGCUUAACCCUGAGCGUGCUUUCGAUACGGGUUGACUUGAGGAAGGUAGGGGAGAAUGGAAUUCCUGGUGGAGCGGUGGAAUGCGCAGAUAUCAGGAGGAACACCAGUGGCGAAGGCGGUUCUCUGGGCCUUUCCUGACGCUGAGGAGCGAAAGCGUGGGGAGCGAACAGGCUUAGAUACCCUGGUAGUCCACGCUGUAAACGGUGGGUACUAGGUGUGGGGUCCAUUCCACGGGUUCCGUGCCGUAGCUAACGCUUUAAGUACCCCGCCUGGGGAGUACGGCCGCAAGGCUAAAACUCAAAGGAAUUGACGGGGCCCCGCACAAGCGGCGGAGCAUGCGGAUUAAUUCGAUGCAACGCGUAGAACCUUACCUGGGUUUGACAUGGAUCGGGAGCGCUCAGAGAUGGGUGUGCCUCUUUUGGGGUCGGUUCACAGGUGGUGCAUGGCUGUCGUCAGCUCGUGUCGUGAGAUGUUGGGUUAAGUCCCGCAACGAGCGCAACCCUUGUUCACUGUUGCCAGCACGUUAUGGUGGGGACUCAGUGGAGACCGCCGGGGUCAACUCGGAGGAAGGUGGGGAUGACGUCAAGUCAUCAUGCCCCUUAUGUCCAGGGCUUCACGCAUGCUACAAUGGCUGGUACAGAGAGUGGCGAGCCUGUGAGGGUGAGCGAAUCUCGGAAAGCCGGUCUCAGUUCGGAUUGGGGUCUGCAACUCGACCUCAUGAAGUCGGAGUCGCUAGUAAUCGCAGAUCAGCAACGCUGCGGUGAAUACGUUCCCGGGGCU